rnacentral:miRNA from 1 species
GAGCCACCCUCUUACCAGGGCUGACCGUUUUCCUCUGGUGUUUAGAGUAUUCUGCAUUUCUAGCACCAUUUGAAAUCGGUUACAAUGUGGAGGGGA